AUCCUCAACAGAUCCGGAGAUUG
rnacentral:siRNA from 1 species